UACGUAGGGAGCGAGCGUUGUCCGGAUUUAUUGGGCGUAAAGAGCGUGUAGGCGGUUAGGUAGGUCCGUUGUGAAAACUCGAGGCUCAACCUCGAGACGCCGAUGGAAACCAUCUGACUAGAGUCCGGAAGAGGAGAGUGGAAUUCCUGGUGUAGCGGUGAAAUGCGCAGAUAUCAGGAAGAACACCCGUGGCUAAGGCGGCUCUCUAGUACGGUACUGACGCUGAGACGCGAAAGCGUGGGGAGCGAACAGG
rnacentral:rRNA from 1 species